rnacentral:rRNA from 1 species
CCUACGGGAGGCAGCAGUGGGGGAUAUUGCACAAUGGGGGGAACCCUGAUGCAGCGACGCCGCGUGUGGGAAGACGGUCCUCUGGAUUGUAAACCACUGUCCCCAGGGACGAAGAUGACGGUACCUGGGGAGGAAGCUCCGGCUAACUACGUGCCAGUAGCCGCGGUCAUACGAAGGGAGCGAGCGUUGUCGGGAAUUACUGGGUGUAAAGGGAGCGUAGGCGGGACUGCAAGUUGGGUGUCAAGUCUACCGGCUCAAGCGGUAGCCGCACUCGACACUGCAGUUCUUGAGUGAAGUAGAGGCAGGCGGAAUGCCUAGUGUAGCGGUGAAAUGCGUAGAUAUUAGGAGGAACACCAGUGGCGAAGGCGGCCUGCUGGGCUUUUACUGACGCUGAGGCUCGAAAGUGUGGGGAGCAAACAGGAUUAGAUACCCCGGUAGUC